AGCAGCAGGUCUGCAGUAGGGACUCUCCCCUUGGGUCGGGACACCGCCCGAGGUAACUCCUCAAGGGAGAGAGCCCUCAUCUUUUAACAGGUGAAAACCAUUACAGCCUUUAGAGCACCUGACAGGACAGGCUGGAUGCUGUUUAACCUGAGGACAUCAGCUGAACUAAUGACACAAGCCCUGCAAAGUGGAGCCCACUCUUUCAGCCCUUGCUGGCAGUGUUUUGUGAGAGGAUGCAAUGCAUAACAACCUUUCCAGGAGAGGAAGCAAGGAGAUCUCCAGGUACCUCCAAAAUAAAGAGACAAAAGAGGUAUCUGAAACACCCUGAAAGUGAUGUCCAUUUACAAACCAGGAUCCAGACUGUGAAAUCCCAACUCCACCUCCUACAGAGAAGAAGGAACCAAAGGAAGAGCUGAAUCCUAAUCUGAAAAUAUUGGAAUUCACUCUUGUAUCUCAUCACACACAAAGUUUUCUUGGUAUAUUUUUCCAGGUGUAUGUCAUUCUGGGAUGUUUCUGAUUUUAUUUUCCCUAAAUAACUUUGAUGAAUUACUUGAAGUGGGAGAUGGUUCCAUCAGGACUGCUCCAGUCCAACUAGUUCUGUGAUUGUUGUAUCUGAAUGGGGUCCAAGGGAACAAACAGUAAACUGCAUGCAGAAACAUGCAAGGAUUCAGAAUGCCUGACAUUAAAGAACAGAGAAAUUUU